GUCUGACAUCCCUACUCUGUGAUCCAGACUGCCCCUCUCCUGGCAGCGUUAUACUCACUCCGUACAGUAACAUGGCGUUCUUGUGUUGCUAUAGAAUCAGUUGUCGCAUCCUUUGUCAAUCGCUCACUUCCUGGUUUAGCUUGAUAAACACCUACCUACACAGUACCCAGAGCAGGGUUUAUUACUAUUAGUACUUGAGGCGGGAAACCAUUA